rnacentral:rRNA from 1 species
GAUGAACGCUGGCGGCGUGCCUAAUACAUGCAAGUCGAGCGCGAUCAUGAGGAGCUUGCUCCUCAUGAUCGAGCGGCGGACGGGUGAGUAACACGUGGGUAACCUACCUAUAAGACUGGGAUAACUCCGGGAAACCGGGGCUAAUACCGGAUAAUAUUUUGAACCGCAUGGUUCAAUAGUGAAAGACGGUUUCGGCUGUCACUUAUAGAUGGACCCGCGCCGUAUUAGCUAGUUGGUAAGGUAACGGCUUACCAAGGCGACGAUACGUAGCCGACCUGAGAGGGUGAUCGGCCACACUGGAACUGAGACACGGUCCAGACCCCUACGGGAGGCAGCAGUAGGGAAUCUUCCGCAAUGGGCGAAAGCCUGACGGAGCAACGCCGCGUGAGUGAUGAAGGUCUUCGGAUCGUAAAACUCUGUUGUUAGGGAAGAACAAAUUUGUUAGUAACUGAACAAGUCUUGACGGUACCUAACCAGAAAGCCACGGCUAACUACGUGCCAGCCGCCGCGGUAA